GUACAGGAAGACAAGUCGCCCAAAAUUAUACCUUAAGUUUAGCUUUUGGAUCAAAAUAGUCCUUCGUGUAUCUGGCGGAGCCCUAAUAGUCCUCCAAAUAUAUGCAAAAAUGUAUAUCUAACUGAACAGUGUUACCUGAAAGAAGAAAGAAAGAAAGAAGGAAAAAGAAGAAGCCUUACCUGAAAGAAGAAAGAAAGAAAGAAGGAAAAAGAAGAAGCCUUACCUGAAAGUUAAGUUUGCUCUCUGUAUUCUGAAGGAAACAAGACGCAGCUACUGAUGGAAACCCUAGAUUGGUCAAGUUCUGAAGAGGCUGUUUACAGAUGGUUUUGUCAAGAGGGAAGAUCUCUUUAUUACAUCCAAACUCUGGUGCACUGAUCAUGCUCCUGAAGAUGUACCUGUGGCAUUUAACAAAACUCUAGAUGAGCUGCAACUUGACUACAUUGAUAUGUACCUUGUGACUUAUUCAUUGGAAACCUGAUUCCAGCGAAUAACCAGAUGAAAAAUGCUGCUGAUAACUUUAAACCUGAUUCGAACAAAUAUACCUAGCACACGGCAAGCAAUAGAGAAACUUUAUGAUUCUGGAAGGCUAGAGCUAUUGAAUUUAGCAAUUUCUCUAUUAAAAAACUGGGAGAUCUUCUCGAAAUAACUCGUAUUCCUCCUGCUGUUAACCAACUGGAGUGCCAAUGGCAAUAUUAGAGAGAAGGCAAUAGUUUGUGAUGGGAGCUGGUAUUGGGAAAUGCGGUUUCUGAAGGUGUGAAGUUUGUCGGCUAGCCCAAGUCAUGCUUUUGUCGGCUAGCCCAAGUCAUGCUUUUGUCGUAGUUAUGACUGAUUGAUCAUUACAGCUGCUGCAUGUAUGGCUAUGGUUUUGUUGAUAUAGUUACUUGUGCCGAAGGCUGAUGCAUCAUCCCACUGUAUUAAUGAUUAAACAAGUUAUAAUUGUUAGCUAUGUCUUGAUGAAAUUAACAGAAAUCAACAGGAUUUUCGGUGUAGCUGUCCUUGGUGUUAUCCAGCUUUUGUAAAACAUGAAACCGUUAUUUCCUCCUUA